UGCUUCCCGCUGACGGGGGGGGGACGGGUGGGUAAUGCUUAGGAAUCUGCCCAGUAGUGGGGGAUAGCCCGGGGAAACCCGGAUUAAUACCGCAUACGUCCUACGGGGGAAAGCAGGGGAUCUUCGGACCUUGGGCUAUUGGAUGGGCCUAAGUCGGAUUAGCUAGUUGGUGGGGUAAAGGCCUACCAAGGGGACGAUCCGUAGCUGGUCUGGGAGGAUGAUCAGCCACAUCGGGACUGGGACACGGCCCGAACUCCUACGGGGGGCAGCAGUGGGGAAUAUUGGACAAUGGGGGCAACCCUGAUCCAGCCAUGCCGGGUGUUUGAAGAAGGCUUUCGGGUUUUAAAGCACUUUCAGUAGGGGGGAAAACCUUAUGGCUAAUACCCAUAAGGCUUGACGUUACCUACAGAAGAAGCACCGGCUAACUCCGUGCCAGCAGCCGGGGUAAUACGGGGGGUGCAAGGGUUAAUCGGAAUUACUGGGGGUAAAGGGCGGGUAGGUGGUUUGGUAAGGGGGAUUUGAAAGCCCCGGGCUUAACCUGGGAACGGCAUUUCGAACUUUCAGACUAGGGUUUGGUAGGGGGUAGUGGAAUUUCCUUUGUAGGGGUGAAAUGGGUAGAUAUAGGAAGGAACACCAGUGGGGAAGGGGGCUACCUGGACCAACACUGACACUGGGGUGGGAAAGGGUGGGGGGCAAACAGGAUUAGAUACCCUGGUAGUCCACGCCGUAAACGAUUUCAACUAGCCGUUGGGACUCUUGAAGUCUUAGUGGGGCAGCUAACGCACUAAGUUGACCGCCUGGGGGGUACGGCCGCAAGGUUAAAACUCAAAUGAAUUGACGGGGGCCCGCACAAGGGGUGGGGCAUUUGGUUUAAUUCGACGCAACGGGAAGAACCUUACCUGGCCUUGACAUCCAGGGAACUUUCCAGGGAUGGAUUGGUGCCUUCGGGAACUCUGGGACAGGUGCUGCAUGGCCGUCGUCAGCUCGUUUCGUGGGAUUUUGGGUUAAGUCCCGUAACGAGGGCAACCCCUAUCCCUGGUUGCUAGCAGGUAAUGCUGGGAACUCCAGGGGGACUGCCGGUGACAAACCGGGGGAAGGUGGGGAUGACGUCAGGUCAUCAUGGCCCUUACGGCCAGGGCUACACACGUGCUACAAUGGGGCGUACAGGGGGCUGCCAACUCGGGGGAGUGGGCCAAUCCCUUAAAACGGGUCGUAGUCCGGAUCGGGGUCUGCAACUCGACUCCGUGAAGUCGGAAUCGCUAGUAAUCGGGAAUCAGAAUUUCGGGGUGAAUACGUUCCCGGGCCUUUUACACACCGCCCGUCACACCAUGGGA
rnacentral:rRNA from 1 species